rnacentral:rRNA from 1 species
UACGAAGGGGGCUAGCGUUGCUCGGAAUCACUGGGCGUAAAGGGCGCGUAGGCGGGUCUUUAAGUCAGGGGUGAAAUCCUGGAGCUCAACUCCAGAACUGCCUUUGAUACUGAGGAUCUUGAGUCCGGGAGAGGUGAGUGGAACUCCGAGUGUAGAGGUGAAAUUCGUAGAUAUUCGGAAGAACACCAGUGGCGAAGGCGGCUCACUGGUCCGGUACUGACGCUGAGGUGCGAAAGCGUGGGGAGCAAACAGG